AUGCGAGGAGCCAGGAGCCUUAAGAACAUCGCUACGAGUGUUUCAAUGGCGGUAUUUCUCUUUCGCCGAGUACUGAUUGCCACGUGAAAUAAAUCGAUUACGUUGGGAGGAGAUAUGUAUAAUAUGAAAAAGGAAACGUAUCUAAACGAUUAAAAAUUCUAUCGCCGCGCAGGGCAACGGUUUUCUGCAAGAGCGCCGGCAUUCGGAGAUGUAAACCGCGUGCUUGCGGACUCCACGCUCUUAAUAAGACAGUAUCAUCCAUGUUGACGCUGAUCGCCAUCCAUCCUACAACAAUGAAAAACUUGGUCCCAGUUGUGAAAUCAAAAGUUAAAGCGCGACUAUGUGAUGUUCGCCUAUUUUGACAUAAGUUCGUGUUAUUAGAUAAUCUUAUUCAUAUCAAUAAUUUUAUUCUUAUCAACUGUUA